GGGCAAGGAAGGUCAGUUAAAUGUGCUAUGUCCUGUGGCAACACUGACACUCGAUCGUCCUGAUUA
rnacentral:sRNA from 1 species